rnacentral:rRNA from 1 species
UACGUAGGGGGCAAGCGUUGUCCGGAUUUAUUGGGCGUAAAGAGCGUGUAGGCGGCUUUGCAAGUCCGUUGUGAAAACUCGAGGCUCAACCUCGAGACGCCGGUGGAAACUGCAAAGCUAGAGUCCGGAAGAGGAGAGUGGAAUUCCUGGUGUAGCGGUGAAAUGCGCAGAUAUCAGGAAGAACACCCGUGGCGAAGGCGGCUCUCUGGUACGGGACUGACGCUGAGACGCGAAAGCGUGGGGAGCGAACAGG